rnacentral:rRNA from 1 species
GGGACAACCCGCCGAAAGGCGGGCUAAACCCGCGUACAUGCCACCGGGGCAUCCCGGAGGCAGGAAAGGCUUCGGCCGGACAGGGACGGGCAUGCGGCGCAUUAGGCAGUAGGCGGGGUAACGGCCCACCUAACCGACGAUGCGUAGGGGUUCUGAGAGGAAGGUCCCCCACACUGGUACUGAGACACGGACCAGACUCCUACGGGAGGCAGCAGUGAGGAAUAUUGGUCAAUGGUCGGGAGACUGAACCAGCCAAGCCGCGUGAGGGAUGAAGGUACAGAGUAUCGUAAACCUCUUUUGUCAGGGAACAAAGGCGGGGACGUGUCCCCGGAUGAGUGUACCUGAAGAAAAAGCAUCGGCUAACUCCGUGCCAGCGGCCGCGGUAAUACGGAGGAUGCGAGCGUUAUCCGGAUUUAUUGGGUUUAAAGGGUGCGCAGGCGGUCUGUUAAGUCAGCGGUCAAAGCCCGGGGCUCAACCCCGGCCCGCCGUUGAAACUGGCAGUCUCGAGUUGGAGAGAAGUAUGCGGAAUGCGCGGUGUAGCGGUGAAAUGCAUAGAUAUCGCGCAGAACUCCGAUUGCGAAGGCAGCAUGCCGGCUCCACACUGACGCUGAGGCACGAAAGCGUGGGUAUCGAACAGGAUUAGAUACCCUGGUAGUCCACGCAGUAAACGAUGAAUGAUGGCUGUCCG